CCUACGGGGGGCAGCAGUGAGGAAUAUUGGUCAAUGGCCGCAGGGCUGAACCAGCCAAGUCGCGUGAGGGAUGACGGUCCUACGGAUUGUAAACCUCUUUUGUCAAGGAGUAAAGGGCGGCACGUGUGGCGUUUUGCGUGUACCUGAAGAAUAAGCAUCGGCUAACUCCGUGCCAGCAGCCGCGGUAAUACGGAGGAUGCGAGCGUUAUCCGGAUUUAUUGGGUUUAAAGGGACGGCAGACGGAAUGGUAAGUCAGAGGUGAAAGUUCGGGGGUCAAACGUCAGGUUGCUGUUGAUACUGGCAGUCUUGAGUGCACGUGAGGUAGGCGGAAUGCGUGGUGUAGCGGUGAAAUGCGUAGAUAUCACGAAGAACUCCGAUUGCGAAGGCAGCAUACCGGCGUGCAACUGACGCUGAUGCACGAAAGCGUGGGUAUCAAACAGGAUUAGAUACCCGUGUAGUC
rnacentral:rRNA from 1 species